rnacentral:rRNA from 1 species
AGAGUUUGAUCAUGGCUCAGAUUGAACGCUGGCGGCAUGCCUUACACAUGCAAGUCGAACGGUAACAGGUCUUCGGAUGCUGACGAGUGGCGAACGGGUGAGUAAUACAUCGGAACGUGCCCAGUAAUGGGGGAUAGCUCGGCAAAAGCCGGAUUAAUACCGCAUACGCCCUGAGGGGGAAAGUGGGGGACCGCAAGGCCUCACGUUAUUGGAGCGGCCGAUGGCUGAUUAGCUAGUUGGUAGGGUAAAGGCCUACCAAGGCGACGAUCAGUAGCUGGCCUGAGAGGACGAUCAGCCACACUGGGACUGAGACACGGCCCAGACUCCUACGGGAGGCAGCAGUGGGGAAUUUUGGACAAUGGGGGAAACCCUGAUCCAGCAAUGCCGCGUGUGCGAAGAAGGCCUUCGGGUUGUAAAGCACUUUUGUCAGGGAAGAAAUCCUUUGGGCUAAUACCCUAGGGGGAUGACGGUACCUGAAGAAUAAGCACCGGCUAACUACGUGCCAGCAGCCGCGGUAAUACGUAGGGUGCAAGCGUUAAUCGGAAUUACUGGGCGUAAAGCGUGCGCAGGCGGUUGUGUAAGACAGGUGUGAAAUCCCCGGGCUUAACCUGGGAAUUGCAUUUGUGACUGCACGACUAGAGUGUGUCAGAGGGGGGUGGAAUUCCACGUGUAGCAGUGAAAUGCGUAGAUAUGUGGAGGAACACCAAUGGCGAAGGCAGCCCCCUGGGAUAACACUGACGCUCAUGCACGAAAGCGUGGGGAGCAAACAGGAUUAGAUACCCCGGUAGUCC